rnacentral:lncRNA from 1 species
AGAGCCCAGAAAGCGGGCUAGCCUGCACGCACGCCAAGAUGGAGCUCCAGGCUAGCCCACAGAACAGCCCAGCCGCAGCCGUCCUACCAGACCAGCACCUUGUAACCACAGUCUAACCCAGCGGGCACCAGGCGGUGAGACCUCCUGCCGCUGCCAGCCCAGGAUAGCCCCCUUGCCUCUUGCCCAAGGCUCAGGCUACCCCUUGAGGCGUCUGGAGGACACUAGGCUUGACCUGGGGAGUGGCAUGAUGGGGGGCAGGGUCCGAGGCAACGGAGAAGGCAGAAGUGACUUAGGUCAGGCAAGAAAGAGUAUAUAUUGGGGGCGGGAGUGCAGAGGGGAGGGGAGCGCGCGGGGAAGCAAAGCGCCCUUUGACUCCAGUGACAGGCGAGCUCACAGUGGAGCUGCCAGGCGGACCGGCGCGAGACCGAUUUUGGGGUGUCGGCGCGGGGUGGGAACACACCUGGCAGUCGUAGAGGCGCGUGAGCUGCUCCAGGAUCCACUCCUCUAGGUUGAGGCGCUUCCGUAGCUCCUUGCGGUCAUACUUGACGGUGACCUUCCCUUGGCGCCUCACUGGGCCCUCAUCGUCCGCCCCGCCCGGGCCCUCUCCUGCGGCCCCGGGGGGGCUCUGAAAGUAGACGCGUGGUCCUGGGCCGCCACUGCCCGGCCCGGGGGCCGGGGCCGCCAACGCCGCGCCCCCCGCGGUGCCGCUGUCCGCCAUGGCGGCCGCCGGGGCCACGUGCGAGCGUCGGGCCCCUCCCUGCGCCACCGCCUCCGGGACGCCCGCCGGCUGGCUCGGGUUAGCUCGCCGGCUCCGCUCCGCGCGGCUCCGCGGCGAGGGCGGCGGCGGGGGCGCCCGGGGGCAGCUGCAGCAUGCGGAGCCCCCGGGCUUGGCCUGGCCGCGCCCCGCCCCCUCCCCGCCGAUCCGCCCGCCCUUUGUCCCCCGCGGCCGCCGCCCGAGCUGCAGCCGCCGAAGCGCUUUCUCUGUCUCGCUCUUCCUCCGCCCCCCGACCACACCCCCUUAAAGGGCCAGCCCCUCUACAGGCCCCUCUCCCCUACUCCGCCCCCGGGCAGGGGUAGGGGAGGGUCUAUUCGGCAGGGGGUGGCCUAGCUGUCCGUACUCCCCAAACGCAACCUUCCAGUCCCAAACCCAGGCGUUCUAAGCGCUCAGGACGACGAUUUGCGCUCACGCCAGGACCCUAGUCUUCAUUGGACCCUUCCUCAUUCUGUCCUCAUUGAGGCCAUCUGAGAAUAGGGGCUAUCUGAGAAUGCAGGGGAGUGGACAUCGUGUGCAGACAGGGAGUCUGAUUGUGAGUGCCACGGGGCUGAGGCCUGCGCCGACCUGGUCUGCUGGUGCUACCAGGCUUGAACAGUCUUCAAAUCCACUGCUAUUAGGCAAAUUACCUGGCUCCCGCUGAACUCCAGCACCUAGAACUAUGUCACACUCGUAGUAGGCCGCUGCAUUGGUUGAACAAAUGAUUUUGAAAGAAUGAAUGUCUUCCUCUGUGCCUGCAUUUCCUCAGAAGGCUGUAACAAAGAUUAAAUAGGAAAAUUCGUGGAAAGUUCAAUUACUACACCACAGAGGUUAAUUAAGUCGCACUGCUAGAUAAAACGGGAGACGA